AUUGAACGCUGGCGGCAGGCCUAACACAUGCAAGUCGAGCGAGCGGCGGACGGGUGAGUAAUGUAUGGGGACUGCCCGAUAGAGGGGGAUAACUACUGGAAAAGGUGGCUAAUACCGCAUACUGUAGGAUAACCCAUAGGGGAUUAGCUAGUAGGUAAGGUAAUGGUUUACAUAGGCGACGAUCCCUAGCUGGUCUGAGAGGAUGUUCAGCCACACUGGGACUGAGACACGGCCCAGAUUCCUACGGAGGCAGCAGUGGGGAAUAUUGCACAAUGGGCGCAAGCCUGAUGCAGCCAUGCCGCUUGUAUGAAGAAGGCCCUAGGGUUGUAAAGUACUUUCAGUCGGGAGGCGUUACCGACAGAAGAAGCACCGGCUAACUCCGUGCCAGCCGCCGCGGUAAUAC
rnacentral:rRNA from 1 species